UAUGUACAUACACAAUAAUAAAGAAAAUGUAAACCAAAACACUCACAAGGGUAGAGCAAUAGAAGUCUGCUCUAAACUUUGUAGGCUUAUAUUGCAAUAAUGUAGACUGGAAACUGUGGUGAAGUUAAAUCCUUUAUUGCUUCUUUAAAAAUAUCGCUGCAUAAGGCUGGUAAGUCCCACUUAUCUGGUCUCCUCUUAUGGUUAGUGCUGGUAUAUGCAGUCACACUUUCGGCGCCGGCUGUACAGGGUCUCUGUAUGCCGAAAGGACUUCCUAGUUCCAAACACUUCCGGGAGGCGGGUCUUAGCGGCCGGUGAGCGUGAUGACGCGUUUCGCCGAGGGGUUCGGCUUCCUCAGAUCAGCUCCUUUCACACCACGGUCCCAAUUUAUAAGUCUUAAAAAGCAUUUAUAUAUGCACAUUAAGCACAUCAUUUAUAUCUUGUU